GUGGGGAAUCUUCCGCAAUGGACGAAAGUCUGACGGAGCAACGCCGCGUGAGUGAUGAAGGUCUUCGGAUUGUAAAGCUCUGUUAAUCGGGACGAAAGAGCCUAGUGUGAAUAAUGCUAGGAAGUGACGGUACCGGAAUAGAAAGCCACGGCUAACUACGUGCCAGCAGCCGCGGUAAUACGUAGGUGGCAAGCGUUGUCCGGACUUAUUGGGCGUAAAGCGCGCGCAGGCGGAUCUGCCAGUCUGUCUUAAAAGUUCGGGGCUUAACCCCGUGAUGGGAUGGAAACUACAGAGCUAGAGUAUCGGAGAGGAAAGUGAAAUUCCUAGUGUAGCGGUGAAAUGCGUAGAUAUUAGGAAGAACACCAGUGGCGAAGGCGACUUUCUGGACGAAAACUGACGCUGAGGCGCGAAAGCCAGGGGAGCGAACGGGAUUAGAAACCCUGGUAGUCC
rnacentral:rRNA from 1 species